rnacentral:lncRNA from 1 species
GUGGGGAACCAGACUUUAUCUCCCCCUAGCCACCCCACUGUUGGGCUAACUCCGGUGGCUGAACUUGAGCUCUCAUCCAGCUCAGGGUCCCUGUUGGUAACUGAGCCUAAUAUGACCACAUCUGGGAGCCUGCUGACCAGAUCCCCCACCCAGGCCCCUUUCUCCCCAUUCAAUCCCACUUCCCUCAUUAAGAUGGAGCCCCAUGACAUAUAAACAAAGGGAUCAAAAGUAUGACCCUCCGGGGCAAAAUUGUGAAACAUUUUCGUGUGGACUUAAGUAGAGUACCCGCCCUUACAUCUAGUGCGGUGAGAGAAAAUUUGAUUCCAAGUUCCCUAGACCUAUCUGGCGUCGUUAUGACCAAAGUACGCCCAGCUCAAGCAUCGCUGGCAUCAGACAUGGCCUUCAAGAGCACUAGGGAGUGGAUAGGCUCUUGAAAGGAUAAUGAGAUGACUUGGUGAUGGAGGGACAUCCACAAGCCAGGAAGCCGCUUGUGGUCAGAGCUGGUCAGCUUCCCAAGAAGAGUUAAGUCUGGUCAUACUUCGCUAUCUAUAUUCCUUACACAGGGAACUUACCAUCCGAUAUGUGAAUAUCUUCUUCGUAUGCAUUUGUGUGCACUUGUGGUUCUGUAUCUUCAUUUCUUUGGGGAGGAUGGGAUUUAGAUGUCAGGUCUUUUCUUCGUGU